rnacentral:rRNA from 1 species
UACGAAGGGGGCUAGCGUUGUUCGGAAUCACUGGGCGUAAAGCGCACGCAGGCGGCUUGAUAAGUCAGGGGUGAAAUCCCGGGGCUCAACCUCGGAAUUGCCUUUGAUACUGUCUGUCUUGAGUCCGGGAGAGGUGAGUGGAAUUCCUAGUGUAGAGGUGAAAUUCGUAGAUAUCAGGAGGAACACCGGUGGCGAAGGCGGGUCUCUGGGCCGAUACUGACGCUGAGGAGCGAAAGCGUGGGGAGCGAACAGG